ensembl:lncRNA
UUUUUUUUUCAACUUUAAUAGAUAUUAUUUUGUAUUUAUAUAGCGCCUUCUUCAAGAACCUUUUAAAUGCUUUACAGACUUCCUCUCUAAUUAAUCCCCACAACAACCCUGUGAGGUAGGUAUUACUCCCAUUUACAAGAGGGAGACUGAAGCACAGAGAGGUUAGGUGACUUGCCCAAGGUCACACAGCUAAGUUCACUGCAGUCCCUUGCCUCCCAGCUCCCAGCCACAUCCCUCACGAGAGACUGCUUAUGAAGAACAUCUUUACAGAAAGCAUCAGGAGGAGCAUGUUAUCAAAGUGAGGUCUUCUAUGGCCAUCAUGGAAAGAAAACCCCGAGGGAUGCUGAUGGCUGAGGCCACAGGCCGCUACAGCACAUUUCCUUGCCCCUUCCUAAGCCACCGGCUCCUGUCUUGAGUAACCUUCUAAAGGUAAAAUCCUCGUGACAGAGGCUGAUGAUCGCAAGUGGGCUCCACUUAGAAUAUUUACUUUAGUUAUGAUAAUUCAUAGAAACUCUUGUUCUAAUAUACAAAAUUUGGGACGGCUGCCCAAGCAAACAUGUACAUAAUUACAGAGCAACCAGCCUUGUCCAAACUCGCAUCUGCCCUCAUCAUAAUCACAGGCAAACAAUCACCUGAAAUGUGUGCUGGGUGGGUCACCUUUCUUUCUCACUUCUUAUACCUGCUAUCCCAGUCCCCAACCCAAACCCUGUAUGUUUUUUUAAGUUUACUGAGUUUCUGAUAAAAUUCAAAAUGUCUUACUCAGAUCCAUCUGCACUAAGGAUAAAAAGUAAAUUUAGAGCCAACACCCAGGAUUCCGUCCCCUGCAAACCGUACAGCACAGACCUGAGCCAAGCAAGGCUGCCUGCCUGGAGCUUGGCCCCCUGCUAUAACUUGCCUUGUGGAGAACUUAACUAGGCUUUUCCUGCUUCAAAAUAACGUGUGCAAGCAGACACAGUACUUCAGGGCUGCGCACGGCAGCCUCAAGGCCUCAGCCCUACUUUAUGCCUUUUCUUUGAACACAAAGCUGCAGAGAAUGCAG